rnacentral:tRNA from 1 species
GAUUACCCAAGUCCGGCUGAAGGGAACGGUCUUGAAAACCGUCAGGUGUGUAAAAGCACGCAAGGGUUCGAAUCCCUUAUC